AUACGUAGGAUGCGAGCGUUGUCCGGAUUUACUGGGCGUAAAGGGUGCGUAGGCGGCGCGGUAAGUCUCAUGCGAAAUCUCCCGGCUUAACUGGGAGGGGUCAUGGGAAACUGCCAUGCUCGAGGGCAGCGGAGGAGAGCGGAAUUCCGGGAGUAGCGGUGAUAUGCGUAGAUACCCGGAGGAACACCCGUGGCGAAAGCGGCUCUCUGGGCUGUACCUGACGCUAAGGCACGAAAGCGUGGGGAGCAAACCGGAUUAGAAACCCCGGUAGUCC
rnacentral:rRNA from 1 species